GACGAACGCUGGCGGCGUGCUUAACACAUGCAAGUCGAACGGAAAGGCCCGUUUGGGGGUACUCGGGUGGUGAAAGGGUGAGUAACACGUGAGUAACCUGCCCUUGACUUCGGGAUAACUUCAGGAAACUGGGGCUAAUACCGGAUAGGAAUGCUUGCUGCAUGGUGGGGGUUGGAAAGCUUCGGCGGUUUUGGAUGGACUCGCGGCUUAUCAGCUUGUUGGUGGGGUAGUGGCUUACCAAGGCUUUGACGGGUAGCCGGCCUGAGAGGGCGACCGGCCACCUUGGGACUGACAUACGGCCCACACUCCUACGGGAGGCAGCAGGUGGGAAUAUUGCACAAUGGGCGGAAGCCUGAUGCAGCAACGCCGCGUGCGGGAUGACGGCCUUCGGGUUGUAAACCGCUUUCAGCAGGGGCGAAGCUUGUGGUGACGGUACCUGCAGAAGAAGCACCGGCUAACUACGUG
rnacentral:rRNA from 1 species